rnacentral:rRNA from 1 species
UUCCCAGACUCCUACGGGAGGCAGCAGUGAGGAAUAUUGGUCAAUGGGCGGAAGCCUGAACCAGCCAAGUCGCGUGAGGGAAGAAGGCCCUGCGGGUCGCAGACCUCUUUGGACGGGGAGCAAGGCCGCCGACGUGUCGGCGGAAGGAGAGUACCCGUAGAAAAAGCAUCGGCUAACUCCGUGCCAGCAGCCGCGGUAAUACGGAGGAUGCGAGCGUUAUCCGGAUUUAUUGGGUUUAAAGGGUGCGUAGGCGGAACAUUAAGUCAGCGGUAAAAUCGAGGGGCUCAACCCCUUUAAGCCGUUGAAACUGGUGAUCUUGAGUGGGCGAGAAGUAUGCGGAAUGCGUGGUGUAGCGGUGAAAUGCAUAGAUAUCACGCAGAACUCCGAUUGCGAAGGCAGCAUACCGGCGCCCGACUGACGCUGAGGCACGAAAGCGUGGGGAUCGAACAGGAUUAGAUACCCUCGUA